rnacentral:tRNA from 1 species
GCCUAGCUGGCUCAGUAGGUAGAGCAUGCAACUCCUGAUCUCGGGGUUGUGAGUUUGAACCCCAUGUUGGGUA